rnacentral:lncRNA from 1 species
AUCUUUAAUUUAAUAUUUAAAUAAAUAAUAUUUAGAUAUAUUGUAUAACUUAAAUUUGUCCCCUGCUUUACAAUAUAUAUACAUACCCGCUCGAUUUUUUCAUAUGAGGCUGACCCGCCUAAUUAAUAAAUCUUCAAUAUUGCUCUUUUUCCGCAAUGACAAAAGAAAUUAGAUGUCAUUUUCAUCUUUGAGACGAAAAUAAUGAAAAAAUAAUAGUGAAGAGUCAUUUAAAGGUCAUCUUUGUACAGUUUUGAAUAGUUAAAGGUCAUAUUUGUGCACUGUCAAAGUGUAAGGUCAUAUUUAUGUAUUAUGCCCUUAGAUUUUAAGCUGGAAGCACCCAGUUUUGCGUGUUGAGCACGCAUUUUACCACGUAGGAUUGGAGGUCAUAUUUGUGCAGUUUUGAAUAGUUAAAGGUCAUAUUUGUGCACUGUCAAAGUUAUAAUUUGAUGUCAAGUUUAAGAUCAUUUUUAUGUAUUAACUCUUUAAAAUAUGUGUUUGAUAUUAGUGUUCUUCUUUUAGCGUUGUUUUAUUUCAUAGUCUUUUUGUAUGCAAUUUAUGAUGGUCUGUUUUCUGGAUCUAAUAAGUGCACAUUUCCUAUACUAAAGGGAGGGAGCCAUGGGGUCAUUAUCCAAAGCAGGCAUGUUGGAUUAUUCAAAGCAUUUUCAAAGCCGAGAGAUGUAUUGAAGCAGUUAGACUAACGCCUGUUGAGUUUACUAACACAUCCACCUUCUCCAUAAAGGCUAUGUACAAAGCACUGUUAGAGGGGCAUACUAAAGUGGCUUGGCGUAGACUGAUUUGUAACAACGUGGCUUUUCUCGCAGCACAUAAGAGACUCUACACUAAAGACCGGUUGAUUAAAUAGAAGAUGCAAGUUGACCCCAUAUGUCCCUUGUGUGAACAAGUACCCGAAACUAUUAAUCACUUAUUCUUCAAGUGUAAGGUUUCAGCAGAGGUCUGGGGGAGGAUAUUACGGUGGCAAGGAUUACAGCGGCAACCAGUGGCGGAUCCACCUUGUAAUCAGGGUUUAUUCGAACCCCCUUCGAUGGAAAAUUAUACAUUUUUUAUACUAUUUUACACGGUCAAAAAUAUUUUUAUGUAUAUAUUGUAGAUGUUGAACUCCCUUCGACUGGUUCGUAUGUUUACUUCUGAACCCCUUGAUGAGAAUCCUGACUCUUCCAGUGGCGGCAACUCGAGGAGUGGCAAGGGGAACUAAUAUGGUGCACCUCCAAGCACAAUAGUAAGAAUAGCACUGAUCUUCUAUAUAGAACUACCCUGGUAGCUGCAAUUUAUUACGUAUGGAGGGAAAGGAACCAGGUAGUUUUUCAGCACAAGAGGAGUUGAGGGGAUGCUACAGUGAGGUUGAUCAUCCAAACCAUAUUCACCAGGACAACACCCACAAGCAAAAUGCAGGGAAAGCUAGCAAAAUUAAAUUGGUACCCGUAGUUAAGUCAUUAGCUGAUAUGUUUCGGUAGUGAUUUAGAUUUAAAGGCAGUAGCUGGGAUGUUUCCAACUAUGCCUAGACAGUUUAUAUGUCGUUUGCUUUGUAAUUUCUACUUUGGUGAUAAAUAAAAUGUUUAUUUACCAAAAAAAAAAAUUAUUAGGACUUUACAAAACACAUUCAUAGACAUUUAGAUAUUCUAAUUUAUUUAUUAUUUUUUAAUUUUACUUGUAAAUUUAUAUUUAUUUAUAAUUUUUUUUAGUGAUUUUGGGUGUUAUUUAGUUUCAUAAUAUAGAGAAAGAAAAUAACAAACACGAAAAUAAAUCAUAGCCUAAAAAGGUACAUUUUUAAUAUAAUAUCUUGGAGUAUAAUUAACAUGAUGUACGCAGAUUACAUAGUUAUCUUUAUAUGUAUGUAUGUAUGUAUGCAUGCAUGUAUGUAUGUAUGUAUAUAUAUAUAUAUAUAUAUAUGUAUAUAUACAUACAUAAUAAAUUUUUUAUUUUACUUUUUUCCUUUAAAUUCAUAUUCAAGAAAUUCUUUUACCUUAUUGAAAUCCUUAUAACUCUUGGGACAAAGUCAAUAAAUUUUUUGAAAUUGAAUAAAAAGGAAGAAAUUAAAAUAUGAGAUAAAAGUUUAUUUGAUAGAGGUGAAAGUAUUUAAUUAAAAUUUUAAAUCAUAAUCAUAUCUAACAUAUUAGACUAUAUUAGAGUCUUCUAAUCUGUAUUUCAUUUUAUCAUUUCUGUUAUGCAUGAAAAACUUUAUCAAUUUAAUAUCAAGUUGUGGAAAAAAUUUAUUUUAAAAUGUAAGUAAAUAAAUACUUAAGCAAUAUCUUUAUUUAUAUAUUUUAUAUUAAUAUGAAAUUAUAGUGUAAAAUAAAAUAUAAAUAGAUAAAUCUAAACAAUGGAAAAAUCCUGGACAAUGAAACAAAAGUUAGAAAUAAAAUUUUCAAAAUGUUUUUUUUAACUAUAAUGAGUAAAAUCUUAUAUUUUAAUGAAUUUAUGAGUUUGCUUUUUCCUUUAAAAUUAAUAUUCAAGAAAUGCCACAUACAUUAUGAAAUUCCUUUUAAUUCUUAGGAAAAGUUAAUAAUAUUUUUGAAUUUGAGUAAAAAAGAUUAAAACUAAAUAUUGAGAUAAAGUUAUAUUUUUGAUAGAUGUGAAAGUGUAACUAAUUUUAAUUGAAGACAAAAUCUAGUAAAGUAGAAUAAUUUGGAGUCCUCUUCUAAUAUUUUUUUUUGUUAUGCAUAAAAAAAGUAUCUAUUUUAAUUUUUAUAUUUUGAGAUAAUAGAUAAGAAAAUUCAAUUGCUUAUGCGUGUAAUACAACAAAAUAAUUUUAAAAUAUACCUCAAGUGGGGUGGGGUUGGGAGGUGUUGUAGAUCUAAAUCAUGAAUAAUAUAAUAAAUAAAAAUAUGAUAAAUAACUUUUUUUACAAGUAAUGAUUAUUUUUAUAUAGGUUUUUUUAGAAGUAAGGUGAUUGGGGUGGGGGUGGAAGCAUUGGGGAGGGGGGUUUCAGAUUUUUUUUAUUUUUUAUUUUUAAAUUGAGGGUGGGGUGGAGGAUGGAUAUGGCCGUGGAGGUGGUGGGGGCGUAGUGUUUUUUUCAUAUUUCAUUGAUAAAUAAUAUGAUAUGAACUUUUUUUCUAAAGAUUAUAUGGUUUAACAUGUUGAACAAAGUCAUUUCAAUAUGAAAUUGUUAAAAAUAAUAUAUUAAUAUUAUACGCGCAUCGCGCAGGUACAUAAACAAGUAUAUAUAUAUAUAUAUAUAUAUAUAUAUAUAUAUAUAUAUAUAUAUAUAUCAACAACAACAACAACAACAGCAACAACAACGAGAACCAAAUCGCUUCAAUGAUACUACAGGACCCUUUACGCGUUUUCAUAACCUUAAUAGUAAUAUUUUUGGUUCAUUAUGAGUCCACACAUAGUCUUAAAUGCCAUUCUUGGCGUCAAUAGGCCUUCUAACAGGACUUCCAGUUAUAGCCUGAAUCGGAACUAUUACUACAGGAUCAUGAUGUGCAACCUUAGUAUCAUUGGUUGAUAAGAUUCUUAUUAUGUAUUUAGUGUCAUAUUCUAUUAAUAGCUUAAGUAUGUUAUAGUUCAUCACAAAAUAUUUAGCCUAUCAUUUAGAAUAAUUUUAAAGUAAAGACAAUAAAUAAAUAAUACUCCCUCCGUCUCAAAUUACACGUCAAAUUGAGAUGACACAUUAAUUAAGAAAAAUAAUUAAUAACAUGACUAGUUUACCAUAGUAUCCCUAUUAAAUGAUGUUUACAUUUUAAUUUGAAAAAAAAAUAAUUAAUGUAAAGGGUAAAACAUGGAAUUUUUUUUUGCCUCUUCUUGAUUAAUGAAAAAAGACAAGUAAAAUGAGAAAUCAAAUUAGAAAAUUUAGAACGGAUAAUUUGAGACGGAGGGAGUAGAAACUUAAAGUACCUUAAAAUAAAAGAGCUUGAUCAAUGCCUUUUGGGAUUUAAACAAACUUUUAUUACUGGAUGAAUAUAUUAAAAUGAGAGCAAAAGAGUAAAGAGAGGUGAUUUCUCAAAACCUGCCUCUCAAUACAAAAAUUGAGAUCCUUUUAUAGAGGAUUCUCCUUACUAAAUG